rnacentral:lncRNA from 1 species
GCAUAACCUCUCUUUUUCCCCCUGAAAUACCACCUAUUAUAGGGUCAUGGAAUUUCCUUCUGAGGAUAGAGUUAAACACCAAAAAGGGUCACAGCCAUCAUGAGGAACAGACACCGUCUCUCUGAAGGCGCAUCAGAUCUGCCAGAGUAAAAGACCAAGGUUCUGUAAAAAAUUCUGAUUAACCUGCCCAGAGUCCUUCAUGUUGGACCCAGAAUGGUGGACCUCGUCUGCAUUGUACUUGCCUGAGAGAAUCAGCUGGGCACAAGUUUUCCUUUUUUCCCAGAAUGCAAUGGGGCAUGUGCGUCCUAACACCAAUCUUGAAAAUAGCAUUAGCUUCCAAAGCCAUAAUAGACUGGCAUUCUCAGCUUUUGGCUCUAAGCUAGAGACAAAGUACGCUAUCCAUUUCUUGUGAACUCUCAUAUUGGAAGGUUUUCUCAGCUACGGUAGUUCACAAAGGAAUGCCACCAGCUUAGCUUUACUACAAGAAGUCCCAGGAACACCUGUUCCAGGUCAGCUUCUCACCUGGUUAGUCCACAUCGAUUAUCAUCGCAUGGAAUUGGUUCAAUCAGGAAAAAAUGGCAUCAAGGGAAGCUCCAGGAACAAACUGGAAAUCAGGACAUGUUUGGAUGGAAGAGAAGCAAAGUGCAACCGUCCGUCUGCCUCAUUCUCUGUUGCAAAGGCAUGUGACAUUUCUGCCACUGACGUGAACCAAGGGAGGGCUUGUUAUGUUAGAGCGAUUGUCAAAAUUGGAUCCAUUCUUAGCGGUGACGGUCAGGGGGAGAAAUUCUUCUGGAGACCACACUACAAAUAUUGUUUUGAAUUUAGAGUCAUCGCCGUCCAUUUUCUCUGCAGGGUGUGCAGGGGUUAG